CCAGACUCCUACGGGAGGCAGCAGUGGGGAAUAUUGGGCAAUGGGCGCAAGCCUGACCCAGCAACGCCGCGUGAAGGAAGAAGGCCCUCGGGUUGUAAACUUCUUUUAUUCGGGACGAAACAAAUGACGGUACCGAAUGAAUAAGCCACGGCUAACUACGUGCCAGCAGCCGCGGUAAUACGUAGGUGGCAAGCGUUAUCCGGAUUUACUGGGUGUAAAGGGCGUGUAGGCGGGAGAGCAAGUCAGACGUGAAAUUCCAGGGCUCAACCCUGGAACUGCGUUUGAAACUGCAUGGCUGGAGUGCGGGAGGGGCAGGCGGAAUUCCUGGUGUAGCGGUGAAAUGCGUAGAUAUCAGGAGGAACACCGGCGGCGAAGGCAGCCUGCUGGACCGCGACUGACGUUGAGGCUCGAAAGCGUGGGUAUCGAACAGGAUUAGAUACCCGUGUA
rnacentral:rRNA from 1 species